rnacentral:tRNA from 1 species
GGGAAUGUGGCUCAGUUGGUAGAGUGCUUGUCUAGCAUGCACAAAGUCCUGGGUUCUAUUCCCAGCACCA